GACGAACGCUGGCGGCGUGCUUAACACAUGCAAGUCGAACGGAAAGGCCCUGCUUUUGUGGGGUGCUCGAGUGGCGAACGGGUGAGUAACACGUGAGUAACCUGCCCUUGACUUUGGGAUAACUUCAGGAAACUGGGGCUAAUACCGGAUAGGAGCUCCUGCUGCAUGGUGGGUGUUGGAAAGUUUCGGCGGUUGGGGAUGGACUCGCGGCUUAUCAGCUUGUUGGUGGGGUAGUGGCUUACCAAGGCUUUGACGGGUAGCCGGCCUGAGAGGGUGACCGGCCACAUUGGGACUGAGAUACGGCCAAGACUCCUACGGGAGGCGGCAGUGGGGAAUAUUGCACAAUGGGCGGAAGCCUGAUGCAGCAACGCCGCGUGCGGGAUGACGGCCUUCGGGUUGUAAACCGCUUUCGCCUGUGACGAAGCGUGAGUGACGGUAAUGGGUAAAGAAGCACCGGCUAACUACG
rnacentral:rRNA from 1 species